AUACCAGACUCCUACGGGAGGCAGCAGUGGGGAAUAUUGCACAAUGGGGGAAACCCUGAUGCAGCAACGCCGCGUGGGUGAAGGAGCGUUUCGGCGCGUAAAGCCCUGUCAGCGGGGAAGAAGAAAGACGGUACCCGACCAAGAAGCCCCGGCUAACUACGUGCCAGCAGCCGCGGUAAUACGUAGGGGGCGAGCGUUAUCCGGAAUUACUGGGUGUAAAGGGAGCGUAGACGGCGAUGCAAGCCAGAUGUGAAAGCCCGGGGCUCAACCCCGGGACUGCAUUUGGAACUGUGUGGCUGGAGUGUCGGAGAGGCAGGCGGAAUUCCUAGUGUAGCGGUGAAAUGCGUAGAUAUUAGGAGGAACACCAGUGGCGAAGGCGGCCUGCUGGACGAUGACUGACGUUGAGGCUCGAAAGCGUGGGGAGCAAACAGGAUUAGAUACCCCGGUACAU
rnacentral:rRNA from 1 species